rnacentral:rRNA from 1 species
AUUGAACGCUGGCGGCAUGCUUUACACAUGCAAGUCGAACGGUAACAGGCCGCAAGGUGCUGACGAGUGGCGCACGGGUGAGUAAUGCAUCGGAACGUGCCCAGUCGUGGGGGAUAACUACUCGAAAGAGUAGCUAAUACCGCAUACGAUCUAUGGAUGAAAGCGGGGGACCGUAAGGCCUCGCGCGAUUGGAGCGGCCGAUGUCAGAUUAGGUAGUUGGUGGGGUAAAGGCUCACCAAGCCAACGAUCUGUAGCUGGUCUGAGAGGACGACCAGCCACACUGGGACUGAGACACGGCCCAGACUCCUACGGGAGGCAGCAGUGGGGCAUUUUGGACAAUGGGCGCAAGCCUGAUCCAGCAAUGCCGCGUGCAGGAAGAAGGCCUUCGGGUUGUAAACUGCUUUUGUACGGAACGAAACGGCUCUGGUUAAUACCCGGGGCUAAUGACGGUACCGUAAGAAUAAGCACCGGCUAACUACGUG